rnacentral:tRNA from 3 species
UAGAGAGUAGUAUAGAUGGUAGUACAAAAGAUUUUGGAUUUUUUUGUGGAGGUUCAAGUCCUCUUUCUCUAA